GAUGAACGCUGGCGGCGUGCCUAAUACAUGCAAGUCGAGCGAACAGACGAGGAGCUUGCUCCUCUGACGUUAGCGGCGGACGGGUGAGUAACACGUGGAUAACCUACCUAUAAGACUGGGAUAACUUCGGGAAACCGGAGCUAAUACCGGAUAAUAUAUUGAACCGCAUGGUUCAAUAGUGAAAGACGGUUUUGCUGUCACUUAUAGAUGGAUCCGCGCCGCAUUAGCUAGUUGGUAAGGUAACGGCUUACCAAGGCGACGAUGCGUAGCCGACCUGAGAGGGUGAUCGGCCACACUGGAACUGAGACACGGUCCAGACUCCUACGGGAGGCAGCAGUAGGGAAUCUUCCGCAAUGGGCGAAAGCCUGACGGAGCAACGCCGCGUGAGUGAUGAAGGUCUGCGGAUCGUAAAACUCUGUUAUUAGGGAAGAACAAAUGUGUAAGUAACGAUGCACGUCUGGACGGUACCUAAUCAGAAAGCCACGGCGAACUACGU
rnacentral:rRNA from 1 species